CCUACCCUCACGAAACCCCCCUCCUCUGGCCCCGGCAUGACCACCCUCCCUCACCCCGCCACCCCUCCUUUCCCCAUGCAGUCAACAAAAAAAAUGAUUUACCUUAUAAGUCAGUGGCGUUUCUGAUAGCAACAGUGUCAAUGGUGGUGGCAUCGUCGUCGACGACCGUAGCGAGGGGGAGGGCUUGCUCACCGGUGGAGAGGGCUUCAUG
rnacentral:lncRNA from 1 species